rnacentral:rRNA from 1 species
UACGUGAGGGUGCGAGCGUUAAUCGGAAUUACUGGGCGUAAAGCGUGCGCAGGCGGUUUUGUAAGCCAGAUGUGAAAUCCCCGGGCUCAACCUGGGAAUGGCAUUUGGGACUGCAAGGCUUGAGUGCGGCAGAGGAGACUGGAAUUCCUGGUGUAGCAGUGAAAUGCGUAGAUAUCAGGAGGAAUACCGAUGGCGAAGGCAGGUCUCUGGGACGGUAUUGACGCUGAGACGCGAAAGCGUGGGGAGCAAACAGG